GACGAACGCUGGCGGCGUGCUUAACACAUGCAAGUCGAACGGAAAGGCCCUGCUUUUGUGGGGUGCUCGAGUGGCGAACGGGUGAGUAACACGUGAGUAACCUGCCCUUGACUUUGGGAUAACUUCAGGAAACUGGGGCUAAUACCGGCUAGGAGCUCCUGCUGCAUGGUGGGGGUUGGAAAGUUUCGGCGGUUGGGGAUGGACUCGCGGCUUAUCAGCUUGUUGGUGGGGUAGUGGCUUACCAAGGCAUUGACGGGUAGCCGGCCUGAGAGGGUGACCGGCCACAUUGGGACUGAGAUACGGCCCAGACUCCUACGGGGGGCAGCAGUGGGGAAUAUUGCACAAUGGGCGGAAGCCUGAUGCAGCAACGCCGCGUGCGGGAUGACGGCCUUCGGGUUGUAAACCGCUUUCGCCUGUGACGAAGCGUGAGUGACGGUAAUGGGUAAAGAAGCACCGGCUAACUACGUG
rnacentral:rRNA from 1 species